rnacentral:rRNA from 1 species
ACGGGUGAGUAACACGUAGGUAACCUGCCUAUGAGACUGGGAUAACUAUCGGAAACGAUAGCUAAGACCGGAUAACUGGUUUUCUCGCAUGAGAGAAUCAUGAAACACGGAGCAAUCUGUGGCUUAUAGAUGGGCCUGCGGCGCAUUAGCUAGUUGGUAGGGUAAUGGCCUACCAAGGCGACGAUGCGUAGCCGACCUGAGAGGGUGAACGGCCACACUGGGACUGAGACACGGCCCAGACUCCUACGGGAGGCAGCAGUAGGGAAUCUUCCGCAAUGGACGCAAGUCUGACGGAGCAACGCCGCGUGAGUGAUGAAGGUUUUCGGAUCGUAAAGCUCUGUUGCCCUAGACGAACAGCAAGGAGAGUAACUGCUCUUUGUGUGACGGUAUAGGAGAAGAAAGCCCCGGCUAACUACGUGCCAGCAGCCGCGGUAAUACGUAGGGGGCAAGCGUUGUCCGGAAUUAUUGGGCGUAAAGCGCGCGCAGGCGGUCAAUUAAGUUGGGUGUUUAAGCCCGGGGCUCAACCCCGGUUCGCAUCCAAAACUGGUUGACUUGAGUGUAGGAGAGGAAAGUGGAAUUCCACGUGUAGC